rnacentral:rRNA from 1 species
AUUGAACGCUGGCGGCAUGCUUUACACAUGCAAGUCGAACGGUAACAGGUUAAGCUGACGAGUGGCGAACGGGUGAGUAAUGCAUCGGAACGUGCCCGAUCGUGGGGGAUAACGCAGCGAAAGCUGCGCUAAUACCGCAUACGAUCUGAGGAUGAAAGCGGGGGACCGUAAGGCCUCGCGCGAUCGGAGCGGCCGAUGGCAGAUUAGGCAGUUGGUGGGGUAAAGGCUCACCAAGCCGACGAUCUGGAGCUGGUCUGAGAGGACGACCAGCCACACUGGGACUGAGACACGGCCCAGACUCCUACGGGAGGCAGCAGUGGGGAAUUUUGGACAAUGGGCGCAAGCCUGAUCCAGCAAUGCCGCGUGCAGGAAGAAGGCCUUCGGGUUGUAAACUGCUUUUGUACGGAGCGAAAAGGCUCUCUCUAAUACAGGGGGCUCAUGACGGUACCGUAAGAAUAAGCACCGGCUAACUACGUGCCAGCAGCCGCCGUAA